CCUUUGCCCAGCACACCUGUCACUCACCUCAACCCUUUCUCUCUUUUCCCCAUCUUUCUGUGGCUAGCUCCUCCUCAUUCUUUAGGUCUCAGUGUAGAUAGCACCACUAUCAGGAAGGAGUCCAGACACUGCCAGGCCUAAGAAAUGUAAAUUAAAUGCUCUCAAGGGAUGAGAGACACUGGAAGCUGGGACGCUCUUGGAACUCUGUUGCCAUCAUCAAGGCUUCCAGAUACAGCCCUCUAGGUCAUCCAGAGGUGCCAGCCAGCCCUCACCAGUGGUCAGCUUUUCCUCAGUGGAGUGGUAGGUGAGCCAGUGGAGCUUGCUCUGAAGAUACUAGAGGGAGCCAAAGCUGUCUGGCCCUUCAGUGUGACUCAGUUUCCAGACUCUUUCUCUUUAGACAUAAAUGAAGAACAAGUCAACCUUGAUGCCUUUGAGGGUUGGUUCAGCGGAUGAUGUGUUGUGGGGUUUUCCCACAGGUCAGCAGUCCAACUACCAGGGCCAGAGCCCCAUCAAAGAAUCUUCAGUGCCAGCCAGAAAGAAUGAUGAACUCCUCGUGUAAAGGGAGUUUGGGGCAACCAGUCAAACCAUGGCCUCAUGGGAAGCAGCUGACUAGGCAAUGAGAGAGGAAUACAAAAGACAAGGCACUGCGAAGCCAAGUCUGGUUGGGGAGAAGAAACCAAUAUGCCUGAAACAGGGAACCAGAAAGGACUCAGACAAAACUGCUGACAAGUAUGGGGUUUCUUGGGGUAGGUGGUGAAAAUAUUCCAAAAUAAGAUUAUAGCGAUGUUUUAAUAAUCCCCUGGAUAUAAUAAAAAAACAUCGAAUUGUACACUU
rnacentral:lncRNA from 1 species